UUGGCACUUUCAUGCCAUUGCCACUGUAAGGUGGCCCUUUUCAUUGAUGGCUAUCUGGCUUGUUGUGCUUUGGGUUAGGAUUUUCCCAGUUUGUUCUGCCCAUGAUUUGUUUAAAUUAACAUAAAUUCCCUUAAUUGCUGUUUGCUGCUAUGGAUUUGUUGUGGUCGGCACCCAAUUGAAUUCGGAUCGCAUCUGGACGAACGAAAGGAAAGUGAACUCUCCAAAGGCAUCUACUAUACACAUUGAAUAAAAAUUCGCUUCCCAGACAUGGCUACUGUUUUCCCAUUUAGUGGACUGGAGUUUCUUGUAAGUGGGGAGCUUAGUGUUAAUUACAGAAGCGUAAUUGAGGUAUUUAAUCGUACAAACUCCAUCAUUCAUCUACAUUCGCUCAACUACAUUAAAACUUCCAAAUUACGUAAAUAUUUGUGAGCAUUUCAAAUUGUUGAUGUUUACCAUAAAUUUAAUAGUAAUGAAAUACUUCCGAAUAUUUGAAAUGGCUUAA